rnacentral:rRNA from 1 species
GACGAACGCUGGCGGCGUGCCUAAUACAUGCAAGUAGAACGCUGAAGGAGGAGCUUGCUCUUAUGGAUGAGUUGCGAACGGGUGAGUAACGCGUAGGUAACCUGCCUGGUAGCGGGGGAUAACUAUUGGAAACGAUAGCUAAUACCGCAUAAGAGUAGAUGUUGCAUGACAUUUACUUAAAAGGUGCAAUUGCAUCACUACCAGAUGGACCUGCGUUGUAUUAGCUAGUUGGUGGGGUAACGGCUUACCAAGGCGACGAUACAUAGCCGACCUGAGAGGGGGAUCGGCCACACUGGGACUGAGACACGGCCCAGACUCCUAAGGGGGGCAGCAGGAGGGAAUCUUCGGCAAUGGACGGAAGUCUGACCGAGCAACGCCGCGUGAGUGAAGAAGGUUUUCGGAUCGUAAAGCUCUGUUGUAAGAGAAGAACGAGUGUGAGAGUGGAAAGUUCACACUGUGACGGUAUCUUACCAGAAAGGGACGGCUAACUACGUG